rnacentral:rRNA from 1 species
UACGUAGGGGGCGAGCGUUGUCCGGAUUUAUUGGGCGUAAAGAGCUCGUAGGUGGUUUGUCGCGUUGUCCGUGAAAACUCACAGCUUAACUGUGGGCGUGCGGGCGAUACGGGCAGACUGGAGUACUGCAGGGGAGACUGGAAUUCCUGGUGUAGCGGUGGAAUGCGCAGAUAUCGAGAGGAACACCUGCGGCGAAGGCGGGUUGCUGGGCUGAUACUGACGCUGAGGCGCGAAAGCCAGGGGAGCGAACGGG